GAUGAAUGCUGGCGGCGUGCCCAACACAUGCAAGUCGAGCGGCAGCGCGAGUAGUUUACUACUUGGCGGCGAGCGGCGGACGGCUGAGUAACGCGUGGGAACGUGCCCCAAAGUGAGGAAUAACUGCCCGAAAGGGUGGCUAAUACCGCAUAUGAUCUUCGGAUUAAAGUCUUCGGACGCUCUGGGAGCGGCCCGCGUCGGAUUAGGUUGUUGGUGAGGUAAUGGCUCACCAAGCCGACGAUCCGUAGCUGGUCUGAGAGGAUGAUCAGCCAGACUGGGACUGAGACACGGCCCAGACUCCUACGGGAGGCAGCAGUGAGGAAUCUUCCACAAUGGGCGAAAGCCUGAUGGAGCAACGCCGCGUGCAGGAUGAAGGCCUUCGGGUCGUAAACUGCUUUUAUGAGUGAAGAAUAUGACGGUAACUCAUGAAUAAGCACCGGCUAACUACGUGCCAGCCGCCGCCGUAA
rnacentral:rRNA from 1 species